rnacentral:rRNA from 1 species
AAAUUGAAGAGUUUGAUCAUGGCUCAGAUUGAACGCUGGCGGCAGGCCUAACACAUGCAAGUCGAACGGUAACAGGAAGAAGCUUGCUUCUUUGCUGACGAGUGGCGGACGGGUGAGUAAUGUCUGGGAAACUGCCUGAUGGAGGGGGAUAACUGCUGGAAACGGUAGCUAAUACCGCAUAACGUCGCAAGACCAAAGAGGGGGACCUUCGGGCCUCUUGCCAUCGGAUGUGCCCAGAUGGGAUUAGCUAGUAGGUGGGGUAACGGCUCACCUAGGCGACGAUCCCUAGCUGGUCUGAGAGGAUGACCAGCCACACUGGAACUGAGACACGGUCCAGACUCCUACGGGAGGCAGCAGUGGGGAAUAUUGCACAAUGGGCGCAAGCCUGAUGCAGCCAUGCCGCGUGUAUGAAGAAGGCCUUCGGGUUGUAAAGUACUUUCAGCGGGGAGGAAGGGAGUAAAGUUAAUACCUUUGCUCAUUGACGUUACCCGCAGAAGAAGCACCGGCUAACUCCGUGCCAGCAGCCGCGGUAAUACGGAGGGUGCAAGCGUUAAUCGGAAUUACUGGGCGUAAAGCGCACGCAGGCGGUUUGUUAAGUCAGAUGUGAAAUCCCCGGGCUCAAC